CAACACUUUGCUCCAGCCACAUUAAGUGACUACCCGUGCCACAGGAGCUUCCACUUCUGGACUUUUCCUGAUCCUCCAUUACCCACCCCAUUACACAGACACACACACACGACCACUGGCACGACCAUUCUGUCUCAUGUUCCCAGCCCAGGAUCUGCAGGCUGACGGUGGUUCGUGAAAGCAGAUUUGGGGAGCCCACAGUCCCCCUCCACACAUCUUCAAAGAGGACAGAAACGGAAGAGCUGCCCUCUGCUGCUACCACGGAUAACCACGUCCGUCAGCAGCUUCCUAACUUCAGGAUGGUCCCAGCUCCCCCAUAGGUCCAGCUGUCUGCAGUAUCCCGGUCUCUCUGCUCCAUCAACGUUCACAUCUGCAAAUGACAUGCCCAUCCUGGGAUCCCCUAAUUUCUCACUUUGGGGGGUUGUGUUUUUAGUUCUUAUUAGAGUAGAGAAAUAGUCAGCUUUCUUACACUCUUCUCCUCUCCCCUCAUUCCUCAAUACAAUUCUAGUUAAUUCAGCGUACAUAAUAUUAUGACUCUGAA